rnacentral:lncRNA from 1 species
CUCUUCGGGGGUGCGCAGAGGGCCCUGGGGACGCACCCAAAGCUGUYGCGCAGCCUCCGACCUGUCAGCAGGAUGCGUUGGGCACUUCUUUUUUUUUUUUUUCCUCCCUGCGCACCCCAAACGCAAGCAGCUUUCGUUAUUGCAGCUGGUUCAAAUGUCAUCGCUUCGAAAUGUCAGGCACCUUGUUUGCGGCUGACAUUUCCGAAGCGGCUGGUGCAGCUGCACAGCGGGUGCCCCGGCGCUGCGCUUGCUGCCCCCGCGUCCCCGCAGGCCAGGGCUUCUUCCGUAACUCGCAGCUUCGCGCACCUGCUCCUCCUGCCAGAGCCGGGGCUGCAAAUGCUUCCUGUUCUCCCAGGCUUUCGCACCUCAUUGGAGAUGAAAGAGGCCCUUGUUUUCCGGGAUGCAAAGGAUCCCAGAGCACGGCUCACCCUAACGCUCUUGUUUUCAGCCGUGAGCGCUGCGGCGGUUUGCGCUGCACAAAAAACACCCGGUUUGGAGCGCCGGUCUCACCGCAAACCCCAGGCUGCUGCCUCGGAGCUGCUCUCCUCCGCGGGCUCCUGCCGCCGUGCUGCGGGCCGCUGCGGUGGCGUGCCCAGCCGGCCCGGCCCGGCCCCUGCCCAAGGCGGCGGCGCAGGUUCGGCUUCCCGAGGGCCCGAGUCUCUGCAGUUCGCGCCGACGAGGCUUGGAGCUGGGGGUUUCGGCAGAGCAGCCCGAGACGCUCCUCCCCGGAUGCUCGAAAGCGAGUCGUGCGUCGGGAGCGGGCGCUUUCCGCCGCAGCCUGUGGACAGCUUCCCGCCUCCCUCCCCGGCAGCUCCCGCGCCCCUUCCCCAGCCCGGGGGAACCGGCCCCCGAGGCCGCAUCCUGCUCUGCUCCCUCGGGUACCRCUCCGGCCGCGAGGAUGGGCAGGAGCCUCGGGCUGCUGAAACAGGGACUUGGCCGCCAAGAGCGAGCCGUGGGUCUGGAAACGCGCGGGUGGCCCCCACCGCGAGUGGCACACACCCGCGGCGCCCGGCGUGCCCGCUCCCCCCGUCUGGCGGGCGGGACGCCCGGGGCCCCSGYGGCUCCGCCRUCGCAYGCCGCCGCUCAGCACCUCCAGCGGGGYGGGAGCCGGUCCCVGCCUCCCCGGAGCCUCCACAGCCRGCCGGGGCGGUGGCACYGGCAGCCGCUCRGCUGCCCCGCGGGUGGCCCUGGGGACACGGCGCCCCUCGGAGCCGGGAACACCGGGCGGACGCGUCCCUCAAUGGCCCAUGGACCCCGGAAUAACUUCCCAAGGAAGUCRUUAGCUCUCAGAGACUAUUCCUCGCCAGCGUCUUCCUCCUGGCCCGCCGUGCGGAUGGGAUCGCCGUCACGCGGAGAAUUACCACCCGACAGAUGCUGCCGGAUAGCACUUUGGCGCAAAAUGAUGACAACUAUCCAAAACAUUUUUGUAAAUAACUAGCACMAAUUAAUGCACAAGUCAGAUCUAAUUAUCAUAGCAAACCUAGCGCUGACGAGAAAGGAAUGGCAGACGGCCAAACCCCGCCACGGGCGACGCGUCCUCCCCGUUCGGCAGGCGGCGUGUCGGCGUCUCCUGGUAGGCAGCGCAGGUCGCGCUGGGGAGUUUCGACGCUUGCGCCCYGGCUCGUGCCCGCUGGGGAGGCAGCGCUGAGGCGCCAGCUGAGACGCUUCCCCGGGGGGACGCGGUGGCCCUGGCAGCGCUGCCUUGUGCCGCGCUCGCCCGCUGCGCCUGCCGGGCCGCAAGAUGCUGCUGCGAGUGGUUAGAGACCCGGGGACGGGCGCUUGCUGCCGCCACGUCCCGCUUGCAGAGCCCGAGCUCGCCGAAACGCCGCGGAUGCGUGGCGGGAGGGGACUGGCCGGGCCGCUCGCCUCGCACGCGAGGUUGCGGACCCGAAACUCUGCCUCCGCACGCCCGGCGCUGGGAGACCUUCUGCGUCCUCUGGGGCCGGGCCGCCACCGCCCGCCAGUGCUGACGGCCGCCACCAGCCUGCGCCCGUCCUGCCGCUGCCGUUUCCCCCGCAGCGACGGUGCCUGCCGGCGACGAGGCGUAAAGAGAGUCAGAGAGAAAAUGCAAGGACCGAGGCAGAUACAAUAUCGUGCGUUUGCUAGCGGGCUGGAGGGGAGGAGGGCGCCGUAAAAGCUGUUAUCCAGGCRCAGCAGCCCCGUUUGCACCCACAGCCGCCCCCUCGCUCCCACCUCGCGCUCGGCCGCAAGCAGAAGGGCCCGGAGGGGAGCUACGGCCCUGCCGAGGUCUGCGUUGUGCCCC